rnacentral:rRNA from 1 species
AUUGAACGCUGGCGGCAGGCCUAACACAUGCAAGUCGAGCGAGCGGCGGACGGGUGUGUAAUGUCUGGGAAACUGCCUGAUGGAGGGGGAUAACUACUGGAAACGGUAGCUAAUACCGCAUACCAUCAGAUGUGCCCAGAUGGGAUUAGCUAGUAGGUGGGGUAAUGGCUCACCUAGGCGACGAUCCCUAGCUGGUCUGUGAGGAUGACCAGCCCACCUGGAACUUAAGCGAGGUCCAGGCUCCAACGGGAGGUGGCAGUGGGGAAUAUGGUACGAUGGGCGCAAGCCUGAUGCAGCCAUGCCGCGUGUAUGAAGAAGGCCUUCGGGGUGUAAAGUACUUUCAGCGGGGAGGCGUUACCCGCAGAAGAAGCACCGGCGAACUCCGUGCCAGCAGCCGCGGUAAUAC